UACGAAGGGGGCUAGCGUUGCUCGGAAUCACUGGGCGUAAGGCGCACGUAGGCGGCUUACUAAGUCAGGGGUGAAAUCCUGGAGCUCAACUCCAGAACUGCCUUUGAUACUGGUGAGCUUGAGUCCGGAAGAGGUGAGUGGAACUGCGAGUGUAGAGGUGAAAUUCGUAGAUAUUCGCAAGAACACCAGUGGCGAAGGCGGCUCACUGGUCCGGUACUGACGCUGAGGAGCGAAAGCGUGGGGAGCAAACAGG
rnacentral:rRNA from 1 species